GACGAACGCUGGCGGCAUGCCUAAUACAUGCAAGUCGAGCGCAGGAAGCAUCACGAUCUCUUCGGAGUGAAUGAGGUGGAAUGAGCGGCGGACGGGUGAGUAACACGUGGGCAACCUGCCCUGUAGACUGGGAUAACUUCGGGAAACCGAAGCUAAUACCGGAUAAUCAAAGGAACCGCAUGGUUCCCUUGUAAAAGUUGGGUUUUACCUAACACUACAGGAUGGGCCCGGGGCGCAUUAGCUAGUUGGUAAGGUAAUGGCUUACCAAGGGGACGAUGCGUAGCCGACCUGAGAGGGUGAUCGGCCACACUGGGACUGAGACACGGCCCAGACUCCUACGGGAGGCAGCAGUAGGGAAUCAUCCGCAAUGGGCGAAAGCCUGACGGUGCAAUGCCGCGUGAACGAUGAAGGUCUUCGGAUCGUAAAGUUCUGUUAUGAGGGAAGAACAAGUGCCGCACGAAUAGACCGGCACCUUGACGGUACCUCACGAGAAAGCCCCGGCUAACUACGUGCCAGCCGCCGCCGUAAGAC
rnacentral:rRNA from 1 species